GCAGGCCUGUCUCCCAUGGGCUGGGCCCCCAGUGCUCCUCACUGCCGCCUCUCUCAGGCCAAGAAGUACGCCAUGGAGCAGAGCAUCAAGAGUGUGCUGGUGAAGCAGACCAUCGCGCACCAGCAGCAGCAGCUCACCAACCUGCAGAUGGCAGCAGUGACAAUGGGCUUUGGAGAUCCUCUCUCACCUUUGCAAUCGGUCAAUAGAAAUGCUCACUUCUUCCGGGGCUCAUGUCCUUAGUCAGGGCUAGAGGGGGGCAGUGCAGCCCACGUGCUGGGGACCUUGCUCCCCUGGCCGGCCCUGCCCGCCAGCUCUGGACGAGCGCAGCAGAGCGCCAGGCGUGGUGGGGCCAGUGGUGUGGGCACCCACCCGGGACCGCCCCUGGGGAGGCCUCCAUCUGCUCUGAGGGCCCACCUUAAAACUAAUCGGCCAGGUAACUGCGGAGGGCAGCCGGCCAGGGCGGGUAGCUGCCAGCACCAGGCCCGUCUGCGCCCACGCCACCUGCACGCACGGGGUGUGCCCACGGCCUCCAGCCCCGUCAGUCUCCAGGCUGCCUGGCUCUUGGGUUGGGGUCAGGCCCCUGAGGAGAGAGGGGUCCUAACUCAUGGCCCCAUCAGACCCUGGAGGGAGG
rnacentral:lncRNA from 1 species